rnacentral:lncRNA from 1 species
GACAAAUGGAACCACCAGUAUUUGGCCAACACACAAAAGGAAAAUGAGAUGAGAAAAAAUGAAAAGGAAAAAAAACGAAUAUUCGGCACCCAAAAACGAAAAGGUAAAAACGUAAAACUGACCAAACCCAAACUGACAGAAGAAAAAUAACUUCAAAAACAGAUUCUCUCAGUGCCUACUAACCAAAUUCGGCACAAGCACACCCCCAGCCGAGACCUCUAGGAAGAGUUUUCCCCAAAUGGCACAACUCUCCUCACAAAAUAACUCAUUGAUAUUCUCCUAAAAUCUCUCCGCCUAUCCCUCCUUGAUUCACUCCACCCAAUCAAAUCCCACUAUUCUCUCCAUGAUUCACUCCUCCAUUCAAAUUCCACAACAUUUCAGUCAAACUCCACCACCUCACAGCACAGGUGAUAAAAAUAAAC